rnacentral:tRNA from 1 species
GCCAGCUUAGCUCAGUUGGUAGAGCAGUUGAUUUGUAAUCAUCAGGUCGCGGGUUCAAGUCCCACAGCUGGCUCCA